rnacentral:lncRNA from 15 species
CUCACCUCCUUCUCCUCAAUCAUCAGACGGUCCUUCAGGUCAGGCCGCUGUAAUUGGCCCAUUGAUUGGUGACAAGUCUGAUGCAAACCGGCGCAAAUGGACAAACAGAGAAGUGACAGGUGGCCAAGAUGAUGCAUACCUACAUCAACCUCUGUGAGCAACAGCAUAAACAGACUGCAGGACAGACAGCAUGAAGGGAGGGAGGCCUGGUGUCUCGGCUAACGUCCUGCGGGGUGGGACGGCGAGGCUGGCAGCAGAGACGAGGCUCGGCGAUGUGGGGGAGAGCAGGUGUGUGAGUCAGCAGAAACAUCUGAACCAAGAGCUCCACUAACCUGCCUGUGACUGAAUGAACGGAGCCCCAACCCCAACUCUGCAUCCCCCUUUUCUUAAUGCAUCCAUGGGCGUAAGCACUUUGAAAGUAAUGAAAGAAUACAUCAGUGGUUAGAAAACACAAGCCAUUAAGUGACGUCAAGGAGGAGAGCGAGAGAUGGUGUGAAGGUACCCGGAGGACAUGUAAAAGAGGAGAGGAGAAGAAGAAGAAACAAGCCUGCAGAGUGAGAAAGACAGCAGAGUGAAAGUGAGAGGAGACGGAGAGAGAUUAGUGUUUGCAGGGGUUUUUUAAUUCCUGCCUGUUUGGGGACUCAGUGGGUCUAAAUUGCACCCAGGUGAAAUUUCAGAGGGUUGAUUCUUAAACCCCGCAGACUGUUGAAUAUAAUAUUUUCCCAGAAUAUUAAAUUGAAUUGCAUCUCCAAAUGACUCCUGCUGGGAAAUCCCACGACCUCAAACUGCUGUGUUAGAAGUGUGUCCAGAUAGGUGUGUGUAUAUCCAAGUUCAUCUGUGAGAGUGUUUGUGCCUGAGGAUACAUGAAUCCCACCACAAUUCUGUUUAUUAAGCCCUUUUCAGACAUAUAACAGGUUUCUCUAACAUCUCAGGAUCAACUCAACCAAGUGUGAACCUAUCACGACUCAUCGUAACUUCAUUCAAAGUGGACAGAAACAGAAUCCAACUCAUUAAAAGCGUCUCUGUUAGUGUUUCCAACAAUCACCAAGUCUGGUUUGGUGGAAAUAAAU